GUCAGUUUGAUGCAACAACACCACAAUUGAAGAUGGCGAGAAGGAACUUACAUAUCCGCUGCAAACUUGAUGCCCUUCAGUCCACGUUAAGAAGACUUGGCUCUGGAUGAAAAGAUUAAGGACUUGGUGGUUGGGAACGACAAACGUGGACCGGAGGCUGUUCGAUCACAAUUAAGGGCUCUGGGUUCAGAGACGCAGAGUGAGGGACAGCAUGCUUCGUGUUAAAAGAGCCAUGUCGCAGAGGCUGCAUAGAAGGUCAUGUCGUGUUGCUGGACCAAACUCGUUAUGGCACCUUGAUGGAAACCACAAACUGAUAAGGUGGAGGAUAGUCAUACAUGGUGGCAUUGAUGGGUUCAGCCGUCUCAUUGUUUCUCCGUGCUUCCAGCAACAAUCGCAGCAGUACUGUAAUGGAUUGCUUCAUAAAUGCUGUCUCCAGAUAUGGCGUUCCCUCCAGAGUUAGGACGGACCAUUGAGGAGAAAACAACACUGUCUGCUUGAUGAAUACUACUUCUACAAACGAGGCUACACUUGUGGCAGCACCUAUUCCUGUGGCCCCCCCAUCUUCUGCACCACUUCUUGUGGCCCCCCUCCACCAUUCCCUGAGGCUUAUCGUCCACCUUCACCACACUCUUCUGUUGAUGUUGGUGAUGACAAUGAUGUUGACCUCCAAACACUGCUGAAGUUAAUGAGAUGCCAACCGAAUUAACGUGAUGAGGGACAACGUUUAUGAUUGUGCAAUGAGAGGCUUUAAGAGAGCCCGCUUUAAUCCGGAGGCAAAAAUAGACAUGGUUUUUAGGGAUGGUGACGGAAAAGGGGCAGCUGAUGAGGGUGGUCCCUCAAGAGAAUUUCUCUGGCUGCUAAUGAGUGCCAUCCAUUCCUUUGCAAUAUUUGAGGGACCUGAUUGGCAAAAAUGCCUUUCUUGCAACUCUCAAGCACUCUAUGAUGGCGUAUACAAGCAGGUGGGCCACAUGAUUGCUGUCUGUCUAGUACAUGGGGGUGUAAAGACACAUUUUUUCAGAGGCUAUACAGGCAAGUAUAUGGCCUACAACCUCCUGUGCCAGAAAUGAAAGAAAUGGUGGAAUAUAACUUAAGAGAGAAGUUGGAGAAGAUUCAAAGAGGUCUGGAGUGUCUAGGUCUCCUGCCUUACAUGAAUAGACACUGAAGCCUCUUCAGAGAGUGUUUCAUCUACGCUGAGAAACCUCUUUUGGCCAGACAUAGCUUCUCUCUUCAAAGCAGAGUGCUCUCCACAUGGUACCAAUCAAAGAGCAAUAGAGAGAAGAGUCAUAUGUUUCUGGGGGGACUGGCUUCUGGAGGUGGAAGGGGGAACACAUACCCUUCUCCAUGGAGAAGGUUUUCAUUUUCACUUCGGGGGUUUCAGCAUUCCUAGGCUGGGAUUGCCAGUGGAGCCACAGCUACAGUUCUAUCUGCUACCACACAGCAAGUGGUACCGGAGCGCCAAGUCUAUGUCCAAGAGGCUUCUAAACAGAUUCUACCCCCAAGCCAUAAGACUACUGAACAUCUAAUCAAAUGGCUACCCAGACUAUUUGCUGCUACUAUCUAUGCAUAGUCACUUUAAUAUCUCUACCUACAUAUAUAUAUAUUAACUUGACUAACCGGUGCCCCCGAACAUUCCCUGUACCGGUAUCCCCUGUACAGUAUAUAGCCUCGCUAUUGUUAUUUUACUGAUGCUCUUUAAUUAUUUACUCUUUUUGUCGUUUUUUUUAAACUGCAUUUUUGGUUAAGGGUUUUUAAAUAAGCAUUUCACUGUUGUAUUUGGCGCAUGUGACAAAUUCAAUUUGAUUUAAAGAAUUCAUUUAAGGGGAAUUAUCCAAAACGUUUAUUGCAUGACUACCUAGUAAGUUCGGAAUACUGCAGCCAAUGUUAAUUGGUGAUGUGUCCCAAAAGAAUUGAUAUUAUUAAAGUUUCCGACCGGAUUGUCCAUCAGCAAAAAAAGUUGUGCAGUGAAAGUUUUCAAAAACAUUACAACCAACCAGAAUCAAUUGGACACAGUAAUAAAUAAUGCAGAUUUAAUAAAUGUAUGAUUUCUUAGUGGGUAAACUGAGCAUUAUGCAUAGUUAAGUCAUGUAUGUCAAGGGACUGUUACAAUAUGUGCAAUGUUACCAUAAAUAAAUCCUACCGUAAAUAUGUACAUUUCAUU
rnacentral:lncRNA from 1 species